rnacentral:rRNA from 1 species
CCGGCGACCGGCGCACGGGUGAGUAACGCGUAUCCAACCUUCCGUACACUCAGGGAUAGCCUUUCGAAAGAAAGAUUAAUACCUGAUGGUAUGAUGAGAUUGCAUGAUAGCAUCAUUAAAGAUUUAUCGGUGUACGAUGGGGAUGCGUUCCAUUAGGUAGUAGGCGGGGUAACGGCCCACCUAGCCAACGAUGGAUAGGGGUUCUGAGAGGAAGGUCCCCCACAUUGGAACUGAGACACGGUCCAAACUCCUACGGGAGGCAGCAGUGAGGAAUAUUGGUCAAUGGACGAGAGUCUGAACCAGCCAAGUAGCGUGAAGGAUGAAGGUCCUACGGAUUGUAAACUUCUUUUAUAAGGGAAUAAACCCUCCCACGUGUGGGAGCUUGUAUGUACCUUAUGAAUAAGCAUCGGCCAACUCCGUGCCAGCAGCCGCGGUAAUACGGAGGAUGCGAGCGUUAUCCGGAUUUAUUGGGUUUAAAGGGAGCGCAGACGGGUCGUUAAGUCAGCUGUGAAAGUUUGGGGCUCAACCUUAAAAUUGCAGUUGAUACUGGCGUCCUUGAGUGCGGUUGAGGUGUGCGGAAUUCGUGGUGUAGCGGUGAAAUGCUUAGAUAUCACGAAGAACUCCGAUUGCGAAGGCAG